UACGGAGGGAGCUAGCGUUGUUCGGAAUCACUGGGCGUAAAGCGCACGUAGGCGGCUAUUCAAGUCGGGGGUGAAAGCCCGGGGCUCAACCCCGGAACUGCCCUCGAAACUAGGUAGCUAGAAUCUUGGAGAGGCGAGUGGAAUUCCGAGUGUAGAGGUGAAAUUCGUAGAUAUUCGGAAGAACACCAGUGGCGAAGGCGACUCGCUGGACAAGUAUUGACGCUGAGGUGCGAAAGCGUGGGGAGCAAAC
rnacentral:rRNA from 1 species